ensembl:misc_RNA Metazoa_SRP Metazoan signal recognition particle RNA
GCUGGGUGUGGUGGCGGGCACCUGUAAUCCCAGCUACUUGGGAGGCUGAGGCAGGAGAAUUGCUUAAGCCCAGGAGGCGGAGGUCACAGUGAGCCAAGAUCACGCACUGCACUCCAGCCUGGGCAACAGAGCUAGACUCUGUCUCAA